AACGCACCUUGCACCCUUUGGUAUUCCGAAGGGUAUGCCCGUUUGAGUGUCAUUGUAAUCUCACACCCAAGACUUCUUGUCGAGGGAGGUGGACUUGGACGUUUUGCUGCGUAACUGCGGCUUGUCUCAAAAGUGUCAGCGCGGCUCUAGAUGAAGCGUUUGAUGCCCAGUGUAAUAAGUAUUUCGCUGUGGUUAGCAUUAGUCUACGAGUUGUUGUGCUCUCUAAUCGUCUUCGGACUGGACCAGCGAUGGUUCAUUUGACAACUUGGCCUCAAAUCGGGUAGGACUUCCCGCUGAACUUAA
rnacentral:misc_RNA from 1 species